UAACCGAACCCUAUCUGACCGCAGGUGCCGCCACAGCGCUGCCGGACCCCGCCUUCUCCCCCGUUUCCUCCCUCUCUCGCCGUCGCCGAUUGGGCCAUCGACGAACGCAGGGUCUAGGUCGACGGGCGACGACGUCUUCAUCGAGCGGUCCUUCAGGUCCUUCUUCUCCUCCGCGCAGGUCCUCCUCCUCCUCCGUUGAAGAACAUGACGUGGACAGAGGUGGAUUUCUUCCUUAAGUGGAAGACCUAGCCUUGCCGCCGCACCGGGAAGAUCGACCCCGUCGCGAACAAUACGACGAGCAGGAGAAGGACCUAGAGGAAUGUGCGGAUCAGGGAGGAUCACCGCCGUCUCCAGUUUGACUUCAUUGGUCGAUGACCACUUGCCUGAUCCAUCCUGACUCAUGCUGAAGUUUCAGCUGAUGCCUUCGGGAUGGUUGUGAUGCAAGAUGGAGUGAUAUCUAACUAUGGGUAUACUCAAUUUUACUCACAUAUCUCUGAUUUGGGUCAUUGGCUAUUUCUCUUGCUGCUCAAUGUUCAUAUAUGCACUUGGGUAAUCUCAUAUAUGUUAACUUGUGGCCCAGAGAUCUAUAUGCUUAGAAGUGAAUCUCAUAUAUGUUAACUUGGGUAAUCUCAUAGAAGAGGCUUCAGAAGGUAGGAAAGACAGAACAAGCUAGGAAAGACUCAAGUGAGGGUUUAGUAGUGAAUCUCUAUGCUUUGUUUCAUGCACAUGAAACUUGCUGCAUUUGAUCUUGUGCGCAUGGAAAUCUCUAUGCUUUGUCUUGUGCAAGUCCAUAUGGUUUAAUCAUGUUUAUGUUUAAAUAUAUUGCUGCAUUUGAUCACGUUACACUAUUUUCCCUGCCUUAGUCGCAAGGUACCACAGAAACAGAACAUAUGUGUUUACUCUGAUCUCUGUUCAUCCGUGUACUAUAUAAUCUUUCCUAGAUUUGUACAUUAAAGGUAUUUUUUCGUACUAGAUGUGUAACCAACUUUGCUAUGCUCUGCUCAUCCAUUAAAUUGUACUGCAUAGGUUAUUAUAUAUUUGUAGAAUUUUAUCUGUGAUCACUGUUCUGCAUCUUUGUUCAGCAUGAAAGUGUUACUUUUUAUUACUGACAACAAUCAUGUAUUAUCAACUAUCCCCUUUUUGCGAUUGCAGAUCACCUUGCUUCAAUCUGGUAUCAGAGAGAGGAAGCUUCAAAGAACCACGAAGAGGAAAAUUUUGUUAUGCGCCUCAUUGCUACCGCUAAUAACAUCUUUGGCUUUCCUCUGAUAUUAAAAUACAAUAGUAUUCUCUAGGUUUCCUUGUUCGUUGAUUACACAAUAUUCCUGAUUUGCGACGAUGUUUUCAGUACAAUAGGUCGAUUAGCUGUUGUAGGGUGCAUCCUGUAGUUGUAAGGUCUGGGAUUUCUUCCAUUAGUUGUUUUAUUAUGAUUAAUGGUUAUUGGACUGAGUUGGGCAAUUAGUCAAUGACAGAGGUCAUGACAUGUUUCUGUGCACAACGAGUGUACUUACAUUUGUAUCUGCGACCGAGAUAAUCAUGUACAGCUCGACCCAUUACAACAGACAUCGAAAAACAAAAGAGAUGGUUGAUAGUGAAAGGAGCCACAAAGAGUUGUACAUUUUCUUCAUUUGAGGAUUAGUUCCUAAAGCUUCUUCCUCAUUCAUUUUUAUUUAUUUAUUAUGCCUUGUUGUUCAAAGUUGUUUUUUCUGGUUUUGUUCCAAUUGGUUUGUCUUUGGCUAUAGUCAUGAUGGUACAGAGUUGAGAGAGCGAUGGUAAUUGCAUUCAAGAAUGUUGUCCAGGAGGAUCUGCGGAACUUACUGGGAAGAUACUUUAGCAUAGGGUGUGAGCUGCUAUUUAUGGAUGAGUUACCGGAUGCCAUUCUACGACAUGGGCAUGAAUAAGGGCAUGGUGGCCAGAUCUGAGGGCGCGCGAGCUCUUCUGCACCACUCCUCGCGCACAACUGAUGGUACCGAUUAGGUGGCUCGCCUUCUAGCACCACUCCUCGCGCACAACUGAUGUCAUUAGAUCCAAGACAUGGAGACCAGACCAGAGCGGCACGCGCUCAGUUGUGUUGUGGUCGAUGGGCUAUGGCGCCAGGGCUUGUGCCGUGGUUGGGCCAUCAGCCAGCACUGCUGAUGGGUGGAGAUUUGCGAGUGUUGGUUGGUCACUCUACAGUGAGACGAGACAUGAAGAUAGUGAGAGAGCUUGUCAGGGGAUGAAUUUCUGUGUUGCAUGUACUUUCUUUCUUGGCAAAUGUAGCGUGAAUUUUUUGGGGCAGCACUAAUUUUUUAGAGUUUCAGUUCUACUUGUGUGACUCGAGUGAUGGUGAUGGUGAGAGUUGUAACAUUAUCAAAAAAAAUGUCUUCUAUUUUGUAUGAUAUUCUUGUGUUUUUAUUUA